rnacentral:ncRNA from 1 species
GAAAGCCGUGUGCAAUGAAAAAUGCAAGCACGGUUUGGGAGGGUUUUAAAACUUUUUUUUAACAAAGAAAUUCUCUACUCCAU